AGCAUGUGAAGUCAAGGCUAGCUGGCUGCUGAGAGACUUCACAUGCUUGGACAGGCUGUAAAGUAGCUUUUACCUUUCAAGCUAUGACUAGACCUUAUCCAAACAGCUCCUCCCUUAUCGUGACUCCUCUUGGGCGUGCUCCUCCUCACCAAAGUGAUCCAAGGUAACUUCCUAAGCCUUUAACUUAGUUACCAGAGUAAAACUAAAGUUACUGUGGUAAAACUCCAAAGUUACUAUCUGCCCCAAUACUCUUCCUCUAUCCAUGUAUCAACUCUUCAUCACCUCCUCUCAACACUCCCCCUCAAGCUUGACCAUGUGGAACAAGUCAAGCUUGGAAACCAUGAAGACCUCCCUCAUUAAAAACCUCACCAAGGAAAACCUAUUGGGAUAAAACCUUGAUGAGGGAAAAAGAGUGGAGACUCCAUGGUU
rnacentral:lncRNA from 1 species